CACACUGCCUCUCGUCCGCUCGCUAGCAACUAGCAUGUAGGCUAUAAAUUUUGGUGCCACACCUGCAAAAUGCCCAAGCAACCUGUGGAGAGGCGGAGCCGGCAGUCAGACAGCGAGGCAGGGCACACCAGAGCCCGUUGCAAGAUGGCAGCGAGGAGGCUUAGACGGCAAGCAAGUGGGCGGCAGCUGUGGACGUGAGGAUAAGAGGCGGAGAGAAAAGAAGGAGCUAGAGGGAAGCUGACGCUGAGCGAGAGAGACUGAGAGCUCAAGGAAGAAGACGACGCAAGAAGCUGAAAAGCCUGGGGGGACGAGCGAGCAGGGAAGGGGAAGGCUGAAAAGCAGCCCGGCAAGAGACGUUCUUAUUGAAAAAUAAAGAAGUCUAAACCUG